UAGGGAAUCUUCCGCAAUGGGCGAAAGCCUGACGGAGCAACGCCGCGUGAGUGAUGAAGGUCUUCGGAUCGUAAAACUCUGUUAUUAGGGAAGAACAAAUGUGUAAGUAACUAUGCACGUCUUGACGGUACCUAAUCAGAAAGCCACGGCUAACUACGUGCCAGCAGCCGCGGAAAUACGUAGGUGGCAAGCGUUAUCCGGAAUUAUUGGGCGUAAAGCGCGCGUAGGCGGUUUUUUAAGUCUGAUGUGAAAGCCCACGGCUCAACCGUGGAGGGUCAUUGGAAACUGGAAAACUUGAGUGCAGAAGAGGAAAGUGGAAUUCCAUGUGUAGCGGUGAAAUGCGCAGAGAUAUGGAGGAACACCAGUGGCGAAGGCGACUUUCUGGUCUGUAACUGACGCUGAUGUGCGAAAGCGUGGGGAUCAAACAGG
rnacentral:rRNA from 1 species